CCUACGGGUGGCUGCAGUGGGGAAUAUUGGACAAUGGGGGGAACCCUGAUCCAGCCAUGCCGCGUGUGUGAAGAAGGCCCUCGGGUUGUAAAGCACUUUCAGUGAGGAAGAACGCCUGGUGGUUAAUACCCAUCAGGAAAGACAUCACUCACAGAAGAAGCACCGGCUAACUCCGUGCCAGCAGCCGCGGUAAUACGGAGGGUGCGAGCGUUAAUCGGAAUUACUGGGCGUAAAGCGCGCGUAGGUGGCGUGAUAAGCCGGUUGUGAAAGCCCCGGGCUCAACCUGGGAACGGCAUCCGGAACUGUCCAGCUAGAGUGCAGGAGAGGAAGGUAGAAUUCCCGGUGUAGAGGUGAAAUGCGUAGAGAUCGGGAGGAAUACCAGUGGCGAAGGCGGCCUUCUGGACUGAAACUGACACUGAGGUGCGAAAGCGUGGGUAGCAAACAGGAUUAGAUACCCUAGUAGUC
rnacentral:rRNA from 1 species